GCCGCUGUAGGUCAAUGGCAGACUGCCUCCCUUGUAGCGAGGCGAUGCCCGUUCGAAUCGGGCCGGUGGCUCCA
rnacentral:tRNA from 1 species